AUUGAACGCUGGCGGCAGGCCUAACACAUGCAAGUCGAACGAGUGGCGGACGGGUGAGUAAUGUCUGGGAACGUGCCGGAUGGAGGGGGAUAACUGCUGGAAACGGUAGCUAAUACCGCAUACUAUCCGAUGGGCCCAGAUGGGAUUAGCUAGUUGGUGGGGUAAAGGCUCACCAAGGCGACGAUCCCUAGCGGGUCUGAGAGGAUGACCAGCCACACUGGAACUGAGACACGGCCCAGACUCCUACGGGAGGCAGCAGUGGGGAAUUUUGCACAAUGGGCGCAAGCCUGAUACAGCCAUGCCGCGUGUAUGAAGAAGGCCUUCGGGUUGUAAAGUACUUUCAGCGGGGAGGCGUUACCCGCAGAAGAAGCACCGGCUAACUCCGUGCCAGCAGCCGCGGUAAUUC
rnacentral:rRNA from 1 species